AUUGAACGCUGGCGGCAGGCCUAAUACAUGCAAGUCGAACGAGUGGCGGACGGGUGAGUAAUGUCUGGGAAACUGCUUGAUGGAGGGGGAUACCUACUGGAAACGGUAGCUAAUACCGCAUACCAUCAGAUGUGCCCAGAUGGGAUUAGCUUGUUGGUGGGGUAACGGCUCACCAAGUCGACGAUCCCUAGCUGCUCUGAGAGGAUGACCGGCCACACUGGAAAUGAGACACGGUCCAGACUCCUACGGGAGGCAGCAGUAGGGAAUAUUGCACAAUGGGCGCAAGCCUGAUGCAGCCAUGCCGCGUGUAUGAAGAAGGCCUUCGGGUUGUAAAGUACUGUCAGCGGGGAGGCGUUACCUACAGAAAAAGCACCGGCUAACUCCGUGCCAGCAGCCGCGGUAAUUC
rnacentral:rRNA from 1 species